rnacentral:rRNA from 1 species
UACGGGGGGAGCAAGCGUUGUUCGGAUUUACUGGGCGUAAAGGGCGCGUAGGCGGUCAGCACAAGUCAGUUGUGAAAUCUCCGGGCUUAACUCGGAAAGGUCAGCUGAUACUGUGCGACUAGAGUGCAGAAGGGGCAACUGGAAUUCUCGGUGUAGCGGUGAAAUGCGUAGAUAUCGAGAGGAACACCUGCGGCGAAGGCGGGUUGCUGGGCUGAUACUGACGCUGAGGCGCGAAAAGCUAGGGGGAGCGAACGGG